rnacentral:lncRNA from 1 species
CAGCGGUGGUCGCCAUGCUGAAAGGCGAGGCGGACGUGGACACUGAGAUGAUCAGCAAGCCCGACGUGAUCAGGGACUUCAGGGACCUGAAGCUCCGGAGCAGGGCCACGUCGUCGACGCUGCUGACCUCCAUCAUGGCGCGCUCGUCCCCGCUGUCGUCUGGAGAGACGACGCGGACCUCCAUCACCUUUACAGCGAUAUCGGAGCGCGACUGAUGAUCGGCGACGAGGCUGGAUGCAACUGCGACCGUGUAGCUAGUGCAAAUUGGAUGUAGCAUAGGCGAGAAUUCCUUUUCGGUGGUUGUGU